GAGACAGAACACCUUUUCGAGGCUAUCAGCUCCACUAUGCUGUGACAAUUAUGCCGAAAGACCUUGCUGUCCAUUCUCACCAAUGCUGCAAGUAAAGCUGUUACACAAAUGAUGACUCCAUCACAGGUGUUGAAGAUCCAGCUGUGAAUAUAACACACGUAAACUCUUGUGAUCCUGGGAUCUUCCCAACCCAGGAAUCAAGCCUGGAUCUCCUACUUUGCAGGCAUCACAACAUUUCAUUUCUCUGCUCCCUUUGAAGUAUCUCACCAAGAUUUGGAGCUUGAUGUGAUAAACAAAUAGGAAAACAAUCUGGGAAUACUUUCAGGUAA